rnacentral:lncRNA from 1 species
CAAUAUUUCACGGUGGCAUUGGUUAUGGAGGCAGAUAUGAACUGAAGCUAUGCCUUACUGGGCACCCUCUAAUUGAUAAGCCUGAUUCCUACUAAUGUUCCUCUCCUCUAAGCCUGAGAGCCUCCUUCGUGAACAACUGUGAUGGAACCUCUAUGAGAAGGAGCAGAAGAGCCGGAAGGUGACAACUAGAGUAAUGGGGAGAGAAAAAAUGGACCUAAGGAAGGAAUUCCACUCAGGGAACGGAUCAGGCAGACUUCAUCAGUUGUAAGAAUAAGAUCCAUGCAAAGAAUUCAAAGAGAAGAAAACAAGUAAGCAGCCGUGGCUGGAGCGAGCGGCAGGCACCCCAGGGGGAGAACCAGCCAGCGGCUCCAAGAUCUGCGCCAUGUUGGAACUUAGGCUGCUGGAAGCAAAGCAACCCGCUGGCCUCCUUGGUAAGCAGCCGUGAGCCUACCGGUGUGCGGG